GGUUGAAUGGUCUAGUGGUUAUGACGACUGCUUCACAAGGAUACUUGUCAUCGCAGUAGGCCCCGGGUUCGACCCCCGGUUCGACCU